rnacentral:rRNA from 1 species
GACGAACGCUGGCGGCGUGCUUAACACAUGCAAGUCGAACGGAAAGGCCCUGCUUUUGUGGGGUGCUCGAGUGGCGAACGGGUGAGUAACACGUGAGUAACCUGCCCUUGACUUUGGGAUAACUUCAGGAAACUGGGGCUAAUACCGGAUAGGAGCUCCUGCUGCAUGGUGGGGGUUGGAAAGUUUCGGCAGUUGGGGAUGGACUCGCGGCUUAUCAGCUUGUUGGUGGGGUAGUGGCUUACCAAGGCUUUGACGGGUAGCCGGCCUGAGAGGGUGACCGGCCACAUUAGGACUGAGAUACGGCCCAGACUCCUACGGGAGGCAGCAGUGGGGAAUAUUGCACAAUGGGCGGAAGCCUGAUGCAGCAACGCCGCGUGCGGGAUGACGGCCUUCGGGUUGUAAACCGCUUUCGCCUGUGACGAAGCGUGAGUGACGGUAAUGGGUAAAGAAGCACCGGCUAACUACGUG